UGGUUGGGACAUGCGGCCAUAAAUGUAAUUUCGAUGCAGCGUUUUGCUUCAAUCGAUGAAUCAACUGCAGCCAUGGACGCUCAGCUUCAGAGCAAAGGCAAAGCGAUUCAAUUUCAUUUUCGAUUUCAAUUAUUCCAAAAUCUUGCCUAUUUGCAAACUCAGGUUCAAGCUCCGCCGCUAUACAUUCGAGUUCGAAUCUAAACCCCAAUCACGAAAAUUUCCAGACCUCAAAUUCCUGCGGAUGUUCAACGGUUUUCGCCGCAAGCGAUCCCGAUCCAAGAUCUGGCUAGAUCGAGAGAAUUAUUGGUUUGGGAGAAGAAAAUUUGGAGUUCGGUUUCGGUUUCUGCUUUUCGCGGCGGUGAGCUGUUUCCUGAUUUUGCUGCUGCGAUCUCAUAUCCGUACAAGAUUUUUGUGGAAUUUUGUUUGGGUGAUUUGGAAUUAUGCUGUUUUCUUGCACCAAUUUUUCAAGGUUAUUUUUCAAGAGUUUUCUGGAUAGUGGGAAGAUUUUAUGAUAUGUAUCAUGUACUUGAAUGAGAAAAUAUUUAUUUAAAAAGAAAAUAUCAUUGAUAUAGUAGAAUAUUUCGGGACUACUAUGGAUUUGCUCAAUUCAUUUUCCACCUUUGUUUAUUUACAUUCUGCCUAAUCUUUUUGUUUUAAGUCUAAUAAAUUUAUCCCCUUUUCAUACUUUUCUUCAUCCUACUCUCAUGAUUGAUUGUGUUUUGUAGUACUUGUUCUGGGACAAAUUUGAUGCCUGUUUUUGUAGUGAAUUCUAGUUGAAUCUUUCAUAACCAUGUAACAUGAUACACCCCAUUUUAAUACUCCCACACUUCACCACUGAACCAUGGUGCAAGAGGUCAGUCCUAGCAAGAGGUGUUCCCCACAACUCCCUGCCUGUGGUAGAAUGAGAAAGAAUAGACAUGGUGCAAGUAGAAGUAUCUCACAUCUUUUUAUUUACACUUACACACCAUCCCCAAUCAAGCACAAAUAAAGCAAGGAGUAAGAGAUAUAGCAAUUGGAGUUUCAUCCUGCCACCUGAAUUUCCAUCCCUCACACCAGUGUACCACGAGCUAUAUUAUAAGUGAUGGAGACUCCCAUUUACGAAAUAGGUGGCUAGAGGCAGCCUUAGCAAGUGAAGCAUGAAGUGAAGCAUCAGGUAACUACUCCUUAUCACCCACAAGCUAAUGGUCAAACUGAGUUGUUCAAUAGGGAUAUCUACUAAUCUGGCGGGUGAUGAGGCGGCCGCGAGGCCAUGAAACUGGCUAGUAAAGGAUUAUGAAUUGCAAUUAUGUUCAAGAAUAAGAUAAGGCUAACGUCCUCUCCUAUUACUACUAUAUCCACUAAGAAGAUUCAAGGA